rnacentral:snoRNA from 1 species
CUGAUGUUAUGAUGAUUUCACAAAUAUAGCAUAGUUCAUCUGAUAUAAAAUGAUGACAACUGCACCUUUUAGUCUUUCGCUCCCAUCUGACUCUACAUCAU